rnacentral:rRNA from 1 species
CACGUAGGGGGCGAGCGUUGUCCGGAUUUAUUGGGCGUAAAGAGCUCGUAGGCGGCUCGGUAAGUCGGGUGUGAAAACUCUAGGCUCAACCUAGAGACGCCACCCGAUACUGCUGUGGCUAGAGUCCGGUAGGGGAGCAUGGAAUUCCUGGUGUAGCGGUGAAAUGCGCAGAUAUCGGGAAGAACACCCGUGGCGAAGGCGGCUCUCUGGGACGGUACUGACGCUGAGACGCGAAAGCGUGGGGAGCGAACAGG